UCAAAGUCGUAUCUUGUUUGACAAAGUCAAAGAUUAACACAGAAUUACAGAAUUGCCCUAUCAUUUUUGUAUAUUUGCAUCUAUUAUCUCUAACCUUCAAGAAUCAAAAUCAUUUUAGUGAUCUCUCCGCAGAGAAAAAUCAGCUGCAAAAAAUUACUAUGGUGAGGAACUGAUCUUUAACUACUUUGAGGAUGCAGAUGGUGAGGAACUGAUCUUCAACUACUUUGAGCUUGUUGCAGUGAACUGCCUCUGUUGUAUCAUACUCCGUUUGACCUGUCAUGGAAACCUUAAUACGUAAUCAAUAGCCAGAUGACAGGGAGUUAUCCCGCUAUAAACUUGACACACCAACAAUCCAGUUGAGGAGCUUAAAAGAUAAAAAUACACUGAAGUCAUUCCAAUUUUCUCUUCUGCCUCAGAAUUUUAUAAGCUUCCAUGGUUAUAGUGAAGAUGGAAUUCCGACGCCAAGCAUCUGAAGUCAGUUAAGUUACUCCAAGCAUCUUAAGGGUACGUAAGUUACUUAUGUAUAUAUGUAACUAAAGACCAUAAAAAUUUGAAUAUGAUGCGGUUGGUGGCAUCAAGCAGCUGGAAAAUUUAUAAAUCAAGGUAGAUUUGCAUAGGAAAUCAAGGAUGUAUGUUAAGUUUGAGAUGCACUGCACUACGCUGAACCGGACCAAAAAGAAUUUAUUAGUAAAUUGUUAAAUGAAGAGAUUGAAAUGGUCCUUUCCAUUUAACUCCAUAUUUUUUAUCUGACCAUUUUUCUUUUCUUUGAUUCCUUAGAUGUUGUUAUCGUAAUUGUCAUACUAAUCUUCAUUCUUAUCUUCUCUGCUCAAUGGUUUAGCACCGACAAUUUUGAAAGCACCAUUUGCUCCAAUCAUCCAUCUAGCUAGGGUUUACUUUUAUUAGUACUUUGCACCCAUACUCAUAGUAUGGGUAUGGUUCAACUCAAAUAAUAAUCAAAUCAAUUGAGACAAAAAUUUUGCCCCAGUUGUUUCAUUUAGGAAUACAAUUAGAUAUUACAUUUAGGAGAGACGGGUCUCUGCAUUUUCAGCACAAAUAAUAAUUCAACUAACUUAAUCCCGUGCAACGCACGGGAAAAAUACUAGUGCUUCAUAAUUAUGUUAUGUUUUAGCUUCUUGUAACGAACACCCACUGUAGUACCAUACCAUCACCCCUAACAUGGUAGACACUGAUCUUAGCCUCUUAAAUCUUUAGGCCAUCCAUUAGCGGGCAACAAGUAUCUUAGAAACAUGUGUAUUUUUAUUGGCAGUAAUUUGGGAAUGUUUGGUCUCAAUCAGUGUGCUAUUUUGUUUAUUCAGGAACUAGAUCUAUGCUUCUUCUACUUUUGCAAAGCCCUGUAACAUAAUCAUGUUAUGUUCAUUUUCCAUUGUCGUGUCUAACGCAUCUGUAUUUGACCUUCAUGCCUGCCUAUCUUUGGUUGCCAGCUACUGAGCUACACCUAAAAGAUGGAUAUGUAUGAUUUUGGAGUUAAAACAAUCUGUUCUAUGCAUAUAUUGGUAUUGUUGAUCGACUGAAUUCGUUA